CCUACGGGUGGCAGCAGUGGGGAAUAUUGGGCAAUGGGCGCAAGCCUGACCCAGCAACGCCGCGUGAAGGAAGAAGGCUCUCGGGUUGUAAACCUCUUUUCUCAGGGACGAAGCAUGUGACGGUACCUGAGGAAUAAGCCACGGCUAACUACGUGCCAGCAGACGCGGUAAUACGGAGGUGGCAAGCGUUAUCCGGAUUUACUGGGUGUAAAGGGAGCGUAGGCGGGAAGGCAAGUCAGAUGUGAAAACCAUGGGCUCAACCUGUGGCCUGCAUUUGAAACUGUUUUUCUUGAGUACUGGAGAGGCAGACGGAAUUCCUAGUGUAGCGGUGAAAUGCGUAGAUAUUAGGAGGAACACCAGUGGCGAAGGCGGUCUGCUGGACAGCAACUGACGCUGAGGCGCGAAAGCGUGGGUAGCAAACAGGAUUAGAUACCCCGGUAGUC
rnacentral:rRNA from 1 species